GGGGCUGUAGCUCAGUUGGCUAGAGCGACUGGUUUGCAUCCAGUAGGUCGUGGGUUCGAGUCCCAUCAGCUCCA
rnacentral:tRNA from 1 species